UGAAAAUGGAAAGGCAGCAAAUGAGCAUCCUUAAUGAUGGUCUCGUUUUAUAUUAAUUAAUUAUAAUAUCUUUUGUUURUCUCGAAUAUAACAAGCUACCGGUUGUUUAUUGGUACUCACGAGAAAGACAAGAGCUCAAGCACGUCUUCGAAGAAAAGACAUCUAUUUUAAGAGAAAGCCAUGCCUUCACGAUUCCUUAUCCUUGGUGUGCUUGUUGUACUGAUUGCAGCAGCAGUGGCAUUGCCUAAUGAUGAAGCUGACAUGAAAGGAAUGUACUUAAUGAAAAGAGUCGGGUGCAGUUGCGGUAAAAAGCCAGGGACAUUCUGGUUCCUGAGCCAAUCCGGUUGUCCAGGGGGAUAUGGCUAUAAAGGCGGUUGUAUGUAUCUGGCCGGAAGAUGUUGUUAUAAAUAAAAAACAAAUAAAGUAUACACAGUAUUAUAUUAUGAUUUAGGAGCAUGUUAAAAAUGUUGAUCUAUAUCAAUCGUAAUGUGAUAACAAGAAAAUGGAUGAAUAAUUGAAACAUUGAUAGAAAUGAGAAUGAGAUUAUUGUAAUGUUUAACUUACUGGUAAGAUAUUAAUAAAAAUAUAGAAAUAUGAGAAAA